GGGGAAGGAUGAGAAGCUUCGACUAAGGUUCGAUUCGAGCGCAGCGAGAAAGCGUUGCCGCAGGCAACGACCCGAAGGGUGAGGAGCGGAGCGACGAAUAAUCCUUCCCCCACCACCA
rnacentral:sRNA from 1 species